UGGGGUUUCGAUCCUUUGUGA
rnacentral:piRNA from 1 species